UUUCUUCAUCGUUUUUAAAUCUUGAGUUUUUGCAGUGUGUUCUUCAAGAAGAUUGUAUGAAAUCGAUGAACAACAGCGCACCCCCAAAUGGUCAACCUUUCUUGCUGAAACCAUGGCCAGAGCAAAAUAUUCUACCUAAAACCAUCACAAACUCAACCAUUUUUUCUUUUUUCUACCUUCGAUAACUUCAGAAACCUCCUCCAUUCUGAUUUAUGUCCUCCAUUCCUCUCCCGCCCCAUUUCCAGAUGGCGACUCCGACGAAGAAAGAGGGUCUCCUAUCUAUUGUGAGAUCGGUCUCCACCGUUUCCACCAAGAGACAGGUACGAAUUUUCCAAGCUGAAAUUCCAUCUGUUCUUGAUACUUUGGGUGAGCGACUCGUUCUUUAAAUCUCUUUCUUUUUACUCCUCCGACUCACACACGCACACAAAAAACCACAUGCAUAAACUUGGAUGUUCAAACAAAAGUUGGAUGAAUACGACAUGGGACGAUAUUUAAGGAUGCUUUUACAUCUAGUAAGAUUUGCCGCGCAAACAACCAAAAAUUACGAUUUUUGGGUUGGUUCUUAUUGGAUCUGGUCGAGGACGGUUGGGCUUGAUAGUUAAUCGAUCAUUAAUCACCUCUUAAUCAUCUAUUAAGGGCGGGGAUGUUUUUGUAAUUUCAGAUAUUUAAAUACUAUAAACAGGAAAAUAAAUAAAUAUGUGAUGAGGGGAUCCAUCAAUGUUUGUUUACAUUUGGUAAAAUUUGUAAAAUUUUGGGGUUUCACUUCCGUGUUAUGGAGAAAUUGUUUUUGUGUGCCAAAAAUACAGUUAAGUACACCAAAUUUCAUAACAUCAUUAGUUAAAAAAUUUCAUUUUUAAAAUUUUAAUCAAUUGUAUUGUUAUACUAAAUUUAUGUGCCUUAUUUGGAUAUCAUCAUUUUACUAAAUUGACAAAUAUGGCCAAGGGCAUAACCGAAAGAGUUGCUGUGUGGUGGGACUAUUUAACCAGACAGUGUUUAUUAAUUUUAUUUUCUAUUUUGCUAAUUAAAUUAAGGGAACUUUCACAAAAAACUUCUGGUACUGUUUACUUUAACAAAAAACCAUAUUUUUACACUAAAAAGUCAAUCAUAGUACUAUUCCUUCAGUCCGUUGAGGUUUCAGUAAAGGCUUUAAUUACGAUAUCAUCAGUAGCUCUACCUGCAUCUCCAAGUGCAUCGACAUGAGUUUUGUUAUGCGCUCAUCACCCACACUUGGUCGAAACUACAAACGGAGAUGCAGUUUAGAAGGUAAAUCUUCAUCUUUAUCUUUUGUUAUUUGAAAAAAAAGAAGAAGGUGUUUUUCAUUAUGUUGCUUGGUUUAGCAGGUUUUUCUGUAUCUCCUUUCUAAUCUGAAAGCACUUGGCCCAAAAAAAAUAUAAUAAGGCAAUUGUUUCUCUUCUUUUUUAAAAAAAAUUAAAAAUGGAAACACAAGAACGGAUUUAAGAAGCAAGUUAUUUUAUGAACAAACUUGAAGUUCAUAGAAACCUAUUUUCUUCUUGUUGUUGGGAAGGAAUUAGUUAUGAGGGGUAAGACCUUCAAUAGGUCUUGGAUGAUUACAUGUCAACCAGCAUUCCUGCUGAACUUGACGAUUAAGAAAACCAAGGUACUUGAAGAUUACUUCUCUUCCAAGUUCCAUGCAAGGCUCAUAAAAUUCUUGAAACUUAUAAGGGAAUUGCGUCAAUAAAGUUUUUGGUUAUGUUUACACUACAAGAAAAGUGGGCUAAGAACACAAUUGAUCUGUGUCCUUUUCAUUUUCAUUGAGCACCAAUACAUAUCUGUGCGUUUUGAGUAUCAUUGAACACAAAACUAUUUUAUAUGUGCCCUCUAAGCAAAAGGAACACCGGCGUGUGCCAAAAAUGAAGUGUAUUUGUGCCUACUUGCAUGUGUCACCCUUAAAUGUCAGAAAUGAGAUUUGUUUAUUAAUUUACUAAAGCACAAUAAAAGUUUUCGUGCUCUCCAAUGUAAUAUAUUUAAAUUAAAAGUAGGCCUUCAUGUCCUUUGGUUUUACUUUUUCCCAUUCUCAAUUCUUUACAUUUAGUUCACGCCUUUCCUCUCUCUCUCUCUCUCUCUCUCUCUCUCUCUCUUCUCUUAGAGCUGGUUUGGUAUUGCUGUGCUUUGAAAAAAAACUGCUUGAGAAUAAGCGGCUGUGAAAUAAAUCAGCAAAGUGUUUAGUAAAUUUUUUUGUAAAAGUGAUUUUGGAAAAAAAAAGCAGUCUAAUAGUGGGUCUUUUCAUUAAAGAAGCACUGUAGCUCCGUGUGCUUUGAAAAAAAGCCAGUUUUCCAAAGCUGCAAAUAACAGCUUCAGCUUUUUCCUUUGAUUUCAGCUUAUUCUCACAGCAGCUUCCAAAAUAAGCCUUUUUUUUUCAGUUUACCAAACACCUAAAAUCCUCACAAUUUUUUUUCAUGGGUGUUUUUUUUUAAUCAC
rnacentral:lncRNA from 1 species